rnacentral:rRNA from 1 species
UACGUAGGGUGCGAGCGUUAAUCGGAAUUACUGGGCGUAAAGCGUGCGCAGGCGGUUUGCUAAGACCGAUGUGAAAUCCCCGGGCUUAACCUGGGAACUGCAUUGGUGACUGGCAGGCUAGAGUAUGGCAGAGGGGGGGUAGAAUUCCACGUGUAGCAGUGAAAUGCGUAGAGAUGUGGAGGAAUACCCGAUGGCGAAGGCAGCCCCCUGGGCCAAUACUGACGCUCAUGCACGAAAGGCGUGGGAGCAAACAGGAUUAACGAAACCGGAGUAGUCC